rnacentral:lncRNA from 1 species
AGUAAAACUAAAUUGUUUACAUCAUGAAGUUGCAUCGAUCUAAAUGCACGGGAGAGGAUACAUGUCUUACAUCUUCAAUGAUUUUGUUGUGUUUGCAGUGGAUCUUCUGGGUCGGACCAUUCAUCGGAGCUGCACUUGCUGCACUCUACCAUCAGAUAGUCAUCAGAGCCAUCCCAUUCAAGACCAGGGAUUGACAUGGUAAUCCCCGUCGGGCCUUGUUCUCCCCGUCGGGCCUUGUUCUCCCCGUCGGGCCUUGUUCUGUCUAAAUGCUGCGAUUGUGUUUAUUUCGUUCGUUGUGUUUUAAUGUCGAGAGUGGAGUAUUUGGGGUGCUAAUGUGCAUAUUAGUUAUUUAUCCUGUUACAUUAAUGGAAAACUUUAUUUAAUUUAUUUAUACUUUGUUAUUAUGUUAAUCCUUACUUUUGCAUUGGAAGGCUUUAGGCAUUUGUUACCAAGUAAUUUGGGACUCGAAAGCUUUAUUUAAUUCAUGACUUGCGUAGCCACAUUUAUAACAAGAGACAAUGCGUCUCCUCUGUCUCGUUUGGAAAUGGAUCUUCAUCAAAUCUCUACUUAAUCUUUUUCAUCAAAUAAUCUGGAUUUUUGGUUACAAAUAGGGGUUUAUUUUAAAAGUUAUAAUAACUUUAACCGUUUGAUCAAAUGAAUUAUUUGAUCCAUAAAUAAUUCAUUUCCGUCUCAUUUCUAAUUUGUUGACACAUGGUCCGUAAUUGGUAAUUUUAACACUGUUACUUUACAUAGAAUUUGAUUGGAAAAAAAAACCUGAAAAAUUAAUGGUACGUAGACGGAACGGGAUGAAACGAAACGAAGGUGUAAUUUUUGAAAAAGACAUGGGGUAUAUUUGUCUUAAAA